GACAGAGGGUGCAAACGUUGUUCGGAAUUACUGGGCGUAAAGCGAGUGUAGGCGGUCUGCUAAGUCGGGUGUGAAAGCCCUGGGCUCAACCCAGGAAGUGCACUCGAAACUGGCAUGCUAGAGGACUGGAGAGGAGACUGGAAUGGUCGGUGUAGCGGUGAAAUGCGUAGAGAUCGACCAGAACACCGGUGGCGAAGGCGGGUCUCUGGACAGUUCCUGACGCUCAGGCACGAAAGCCAGGGGAGCAAACGGG
rnacentral:rRNA from 1 species